GUCUAUGGCCAUGCCACUCUGAACAAGCCCGAUCCUGUCUGAUUUCAGAAGCUAAGCAGGGUUGGGCCUGGUUAGUACUUGGAUGGGAGACCACCUAGGAAGAGUAAGUACUGUAGGCG
rnacentral:rRNA from 1 species